GUCUAUGGCUACAUUACCCUAAAUGCUCCAGAUUUCAUCUGAUCUCAGAAGCUAAGCAGGGUCAGGUCUGAUUAAUAUUUGAUUGGGAGAUUGUUGGGGAAUAGCAGUUUCUGUAGGUU
rnacentral:rRNA from 1 species